rnacentral:lncRNA from 1 species
GUCCCGCACUUCACCAGCAAUUAUUUUUUUAUUCAACCAUCUUUUUUGAAAAUUUUAAGUUUCAGUAUAAACUAAAUUAUAUAAUGCACCAUGGCCUGUCAAUUAAACACUCAUUCUUAUAUUUCUUCCAAUAAAACAUUGUAAUUUAAAUGUUCAAACUCCCCUAAAAUCAUGUUGUCCCCUGUGUUUUUUUAAAAACCAAAUCAUUCAAAUAAUAUCCAAAUUAAUUAAACAGGCGUCCGAUUCUCACACAUAUGAUAUAUUAUAUAAUAAACUUGCC